GCAAGUGAAUCUAAAGUCCACAGUCACUAACUCUAAAUCCCAAACCAGAAGCAGGCCCCUCCUCCUCUUUGCUACGCCCUGCGCCUGCGCAGGCUUCCCACCGCAGCCGCACUAGUGCACCAAUCCCAAACCAGACAGUCCUCCAAAUCCUUGAAGUUUCAGAUUGGCUCCAGGUCGGAAAGGAACCAAAGAGAGGUUGAUCUGGCUGGUGACUUCCUGUGAGCUGUCUGGGCACCAGUUUGAUCCUGGAAUUGGAGCCUGGAGGAGCUCCCUCCUUGAGACAGUCACGUGGGGUGAGUGAUAAGACUGACUUCCCUUUCCCUUGAGUCUCAGGGGAGGUCCCCUUGGCCAAGGCCUUUAAUGCCUGCUAGCUCAGUCUGAACCGGAGCAGUUUAAAUUAACUCUUUCCCUCUCUCUCUUUCUUAAUUCCUUCUCUCUAUAGUAAUUAAAAU
rnacentral:lncRNA from 1 species